rnacentral:lncRNA from 1 species
GCGUGGGAUUCACCUAUCUGUCUCUAUAAUUUUUGAGGCAGGGGUUUGCCCUAUGACCUCAGUUCUCUAAUGGAUCCCAGAAUUGUUGUUGAUUCAGCUUUUUUUAUGUGGAUAGGAGAGAUAACUUCCAAGUUCUUUUUGUGCUGGACUGGACCCUGGAAACCAUUCAAAAAUUUUACUAAAUAAGUGAAUAAAUGCUAUAAGAAUGUACAGCUAUCAGCUGGCUCACUAUUCUAGUUUUGUAAAUCUGAACUUUAUUUUAAUCAAUCACAACAUAAUUAUACAGGAAGAGAUGAAUUCUCAUGCCAGUGAAUGGCACUUCUCUGAUGACUGAACUUUUGGACUGAACAUCAUAUUAUUUGCAUAAUAUGGAAAGUGGUAUAUAAAAGUUACAUUAUUUAUUAAUUAAUAAUUCCUUAAACUGAAAGCAACAUAUUCUAAAUGUAUUGAUUGUGGUAUAGGCUAAGCUGCAAUAACAGAUACUUCCAUAAAUCAUUGGUUCAAAUAUAAUAGAAGAUUAUUUCUCUCUCUUACAGUCUGGAAGGAGAUGGUUGCCCAGGUUGGGGUGGGCAAAAGAUCAGAUAGAGCCCCAGGCUGAGUUCAAAGAGAAUAUGUAACCGGAUCCUGGCUGUUUAGUUAGGAAGGAUUGUAUAUGAUCCAAAUAUAAAGUGUGUAUAUGUGUGUACAGGGCUCAGAUGAAUCAAUUUUAGCAUAGCAUUCCAUUUGAAGAAAUAUAUACUCCAGUAGCCCAACAGAAAUUAAAAGACAUUUUAAUAUUUUAUGUGCAUUUCUCAAGAACUGUUAGGGAGAUCUGUGCCAUAACCCACAACAAUACUUUAAAAAAUAUUAUCUGUCUUCCACACUUCUUUCGUACUCCGUGUUUUUUGCAGUCUUCUUAAAAUCCCCCAAUUCCCCUGACACCCACCUUUUAUGGCUUUUCUGUCUUCUUCCUCCUGCCCCCACCUUAAGCUCUUUCUUAUUUAGAUCAAUUUAGAAUUGAGCUUCUUUUUAUGGUUUCAUUUCUGCUUUGCUCAUUACCUGGAUUCUCCACAAGAAAGAACCCAGGGCUGACCCAGAAAGCAAAUAUCCUUUCCCUUUGCUUGACUGCAGCUCUGGCCCAGUUGCUCUCCCUGUCUUCUAAUUUUGCAUUACAAAAACACCAAGAACUAGACUGGCAAAGAAAGACUUGCUUAAGGUGGUGGGGGAAGGGUAGAAUCUGCACAGACAGGACUGGGGAGGCAGUGAAUACUUACACGUUAAGACGUCUUGUUUCCAUCACACAUAUAUCAUUAAGAGCUCAAGUGAGGAUAAUGUGGACCGCUAUAACUCCAAAACAGAUGGAAAAUCUCUCAGUUUAAAAAUAUUCACAAAGCUAGAUUUAUGCAGAUGUUCCACCUGAAGGCAGCGCUGAACAAAUUAAUGCUCACUGUGGACUAUGAAAGUCUAAUCUAUAAAGUGAAAAGGGAAGAGAAGGAAACUGAAAAUUACUGAGCACUUACUCAGUAUUGGGUUAAGCUCUUUAAAGAAUGUCAUGUUAUUUAAAAUCCCCCCAUAACCCUUCAGAUCAGUGUUCUCGGCUUGGGGAUCUAUAGACCAUAUUCUCACUCAUAUGUGAGUGCUGAGAUUGAAAAAUGCUUGUGUUUUCAUACCAAAAAUAGCAUGAAAAUGUUUAACACGAUAUAGUGUGAGUGCCUGACAUUAACCUUUUUGAUUGUAAUGUAGGUGCCUGACAUCAAGCUUUUGAUUGCUGAGGUAUUCAUUUCAAAUAAGUCCAUCUCAAAUAAACAUACUGCCUGCUGUAUGACACAGCUACUAGCUAAACAACUGUGCUAAGGAGUUAGGCUGCCCUCACCUGUGAAGGUCUCUUUUCAGAAAGCCCUGUGUCACCUAGAUAGAUGAUUGCUUGAGUCAACCCAAUUUUUCUUUCUUGCACCCCAAUUCCUGCUUGGGAUGCUGUAAAUUCUCCAAUAAAGAGUGAACCCAAGAAACCCUAGGGAAUCACACUUGGAUGCCAAUAAAGUCAAAGCCCCAGAUCCACGCUCCUUCCCUCUCUCUCUACCCAUGACCUCACUAUAUGGCCCUUGGAUGUGCUGUGUACCCUCCAGGACCUCCAGUGCUCCCUUAUCUUUGGCACUGAGGUGCAUCUUGCAAAUGUAAAAACACAAAGGCUGUACAGCCACCACCAUUGACUCUGGUCAGCGAAAAUGUCUAUGGGACCUUGGCAUAAAUAAUAUGGACCUAGGUGAUCGGCCUCGGGCAUUCCUGGGCCAAUGCAUUACUAACAAUUGGCUGGCACUGACAGGAACACAGGGGCAUGUUCUAGAUCAUCAGGAAGAUUAUCUUAUAAUCAAAUAAUUCUAACCAAAGAGUCAUAUGACUGUAUGCUACUGUAUGCUACUGUAAUUGAGGUAGACUAGUGCAGUCAGACUUGAUCUGUGAAUGACAUGUGUAAGCCAAGUGAAGGCCAAAAUAUCUCAUACUGUAUGAAAUAAAUGAUGACUUUGUAAGAGCUAAAAUUCAGAAUUGGGCUGAGAUUUGAGUCAUCACCCGGCAUAUGGUGGUAAAGUAAUAUUCUAAAGAACACGCCUAAAAGCAGUAUUAACAUUUGAGCUGUGAUUUGAUAUAAACCAAAAAAAAAAAAAAA